rnacentral:rRNA from 1 species
GAUGAACGCUGGCGGCGUGCCUAACACAUGCAAGUCGAGCGAUCUUCUUCGGAAGAGAGCGGCGGACGGGUGAGUAACGCGUGGGUAACCUGCCCUGUACACACGGAUAACAUACCGAAAGGUAUGCUAAUACGGGAUGACAUAAGAAAUUCGCAUGUUUUUCUUAUCAAAGCUCCGGCGGUACAGGAUGGACCCGCGUCUGAUUAGCUAGUUGGUGAGGUAACGGCUCACCAAGGCGACGAUCAGUAGCCGACCUGAGAGGGUGAUCGGCCACAUUGGAACUGAGACACGGUCAAAACUCCUACGGGAGGCAGCAGUGGGGAAUAUUGCACAAUGGGCGAAAGCCUGAUGCAGCAACGCCGCGUGAGCGAUGAAGGCCUUCGGGUCGUAAAGCUCUGUCCUCAAGGAAGAUAAUGACGGUACUUGAGGAGGAAGCCCCGGCUAACUACGUGCCAGCAGCCGCCGUAA